rnacentral:rRNA from 1 species
UACGGGAGGCAGCAGUGGGGAAUUUUGGACAAUGGGGGCAACCCUGAUCCAGCAAUGCCGCGUGUGUGAAGAAGGCCUUCGGGUUGUAAAGCACUUUUGUCCGGAAAGAAAUCGCACUUACUAAUAUUAGGUGUGGAUGACGGUACCGGAAGAAUAAGGACCGGCUAACUACGUGCCAGCAGCCGCGGUAAUACGUAGGGUCCAAGCGUUAAUCGGAAUUACUGGGCGUAAAGCGUGCGCAGGCGGUUGUGCAAGACCGAUGUGAAAUCCCCCGGGCUUAACCUGGGAAUUGCAUUGGUGACUGCACGGCUAGAGUGUGUCAGAGGGGGUAGAAUUCCACGUGUAGCAGUGAAAUGCGUAGAGAUGUGGAGGAAUACCGGAUGGCGAAGGCAGCCCCUGGGAUAACACUGACGCUCAUGCACGAAAGCGUGGGGAGCAAACAGGAUUAGAUACC